UACGUAGGGGGCGAGCGUUAUCCGAAUUCACUGGGUGUAAAGGGAGCGUAGACGGCCAAGCAAGCCAGGGGUGAAAGCCCGGGGCCCAACCCCGGGACUGCCCUUGGAACUGCAUGGCUGGAGUGCGGGAGGGGCAGGCGGAAUUCCUGGUGUAGCGGUGAAAUGCGUAGAUAUCAGGAGGAACACCGGCGGCGAAGGCGGCCUGCUGGACUGCGACUGACGUUGAGGCUCGAAAGCGUGGGGAGCGAACAGG
rnacentral:rRNA from 1 species